GCCGAAGUGGUGAAACUGGUAGACACGCUGUCUUGAGGGGGCAGUGGGCUAGUCCCGUGCGAGUUCGAGUCUCGCCUUCGGCA
rnacentral:tRNA from 1 species